GACGAACGCUGGCGGCGUGCUUAACACAUGCAAGUCGAACGGAAAGGCCCUGCUUUUGUGGGGUGCUCGAGUGGCGAACGGGUGAGUAACACGUGAGUAACCUGCCCUUGACUUUGGGAUAACUUCAGGAAACUGGGGCGAAUACCGGAUAGGAGCUCCUGCUGCAUGGUGGGGGUUGGAAAGUUUCGGCGGUUGGGGAUGGACUCGCGGCUUAUCAGCUUGUUGGUGGGGUAGUGGCUUACCAAGGCUUUGACGGGUAGCCGGCCUGAGAGGGUGACCGGCCACAAUGGGACUGAGAUACGGCGCAGACUCCUACGGGAGGCAGCAGUGGGGAAUUUUGCACAAUGGGCGGAAGCCUGAUGCAGCAACGCCGCGUGCGGGAUGACGGCCUUCGGGGUGUAAACCGCUUUCGCCUGUGACGAAGCGUGAGUGACGGUAAUGGGUAAAGAAGCACCGGCUAACUACGUG
rnacentral:rRNA from 1 species